UGCUGCUCGAAGAUCUUAGUGGCGGACGGGUGAGUAACGCGUGGGCAAUCUGCCCGUAAGAGGGGGAUAACACCUAGAAAUGGGUGCUAAUACCGCAUAACAUCAUAGGGUUGCAUGACCUUGUGAUCAAAGGAGAAAUCCGCUUAUGGAUGAGCCCGCGUCUGAUUAGCUAGUUGGUGGGGUAACGGCCUACCAAGGCGACGAUCAGUAGCCGGCCUGAGAGGGUGAUCGGCCACACUGGAACUGAGACACGGUCCAGACUCCUACGGGAGGCAGCAGUGGGGAAUCUUCCGCAAUGGGCGAAAGCCUGACGGAGCAACGCCGCGUGAGUGAUGAAGGCCUUCGGGUUGUAAAACUCUGUCUUCAGGGAAGAAAAAAAUGACGGUACCUGAGGAGGAAGCCACGGCUAACUACGUGCCAGCAGCCGCGGUAAUACGUAGGUGGCAAGCGUUGUCCGGAAUUACUGGGCGUAAAGAGCGCGUAGGCGGGGAUUUAAGUCAGGAGUGAAAACUACCGGCUCAACCGGUAGCCUGCUCUUGAAACUGAAUCUCUUGAGGGUAUGAGAGGAAAGCGGAAUUCCCAGUGUAGCGGUGAAAUGCGUAGAUAUUGGGAGGAACACCAGUGGCGAAGGCGGCUUUCUGGCAUACAACUGACGCUGAGGCGCGAAAGCGUGGGGAGCAAACGGGAUUAGAUACCCCGGUAGUCCACGCCGUAAACGAUGGGCACUAGGUGUAGGAGGUAUCGACCCCUUCUGUGCCGUAGUUAACACAAUAAGUGCCCCGCCUGGGGAGUACGGCCGCAAGGUUGAAACUCAAAGGAAUUGACGGGGGCCCGCACAAGCGGUGGAGUAUGUGGUUUAAUUCGACGCAACGCGAAGAACCUUACCAGGGCUUGACAUCC
rnacentral:rRNA from 1 species